UACGUAGGGGGCAAGCGUUGUUCGGAAUUAUUGGGCGUAAAGCGCUCGUAGGCGGGAUUGGAAGUCCGUGUUGAAAGACCUCGGCUCAACUGAGGGACCGGCUCGGAUACUCUAAUUCUUGAGGCAAUCAGAGGAUGAUGGAAUUCCCGGUGUAGCGGUGAAAUGCGCAGAUAUCAGGAGGAACACCGGUGGCGAAGGCGGAUCUCUGGGCCUUACCUGACGCUCAGGUGCGAAAGCUAGGGGAGCGAACAGG
rnacentral:rRNA from 1 species